CCAGCCGUCGGAAACGGUGGUGACGGUGGACGGGGAGAAUCUGGGAAGCCGGUGAGAUUCCGGCACAGGCCCGCUGCGGUGAACCGAGCCUCCUCCACGGAGGACUCGGCAAGUCCGAAGACCGGCCUCCCGCCUGGCUUCUCC
rnacentral:ncRNA from 2 species